rnacentral:misc_RNA from 1 species
AAGUCGUAACAAGGUUUCCGUAGGUGAACCUGCGGAAGGAUCAUUAAAAAAGGGUCGUAAGACCCGUUUUUAAACCCUACCACCACCUAUCAUUUAUGGGUGAGACACUCUUGUCUAUGGAUGAGAUGGAGGAGGUUAGGGUUUUUUAAAAUCCAAUUAUUAUUAUAAAAUAUAUCGUCUAAUGACGAACCAAAAAAAAUUAUUAAAACUUUCAACAAUGGAUCUCUUGGCUCUC